rnacentral:lncRNA from 10 species
CAUCAAAUGAAAGGAAUUAGGAAUCUCAUCGUUUGACAGCUAGCUAACUAAAUGAAUUAUAAAUUAUGUCCAUCCUUCUGCCACAGGAAGGUGCUAUUUUAGCUAGUAAGCCAAAAUGUCUAACAAACUUUAAUGUCAAAUAAACCAAUGCUGUUGUUUAUAUUAGAACUACAUGGUUAUUUCAGAUACUAUUUUGUUAUUUUUUUGGUUUUGUUAUGAAACAUUCCAUUUUCAUUAAUUUUACAAAACACAUUUACUGAAAAUAGUAUGCAAACAUUUAUUGAGCUUUCUGCCUUUCUAUUUUAUGAAUUAAGAGAUUCUGCAUUAAAAUGUCAAUAAAGUUAAGCAGUUAUGUUGAACCAUCAUUUUAAUUUCUGCAAAAUAUCAAAGAUAAUGCUAAGAAAUUUUUAAAAAAAUUAUAGCAAAAAUAUCCUGCAGUUCUUAUUGAUUUAUGUGCUCCAUGAAUGUUUACUUCCUAUUUUACAUGAAAAUAUAUGUUUGUUCAUAUUCUUAGAAUACUCUGAAACAUAUUUCCCAGUGGCCCAAACUCUUUAUUAGGAAAAUGGACGAAUUGAAUAGCAAAUGGAGCAUUUCCUCCCUCUGCUAUUUAUACACGGAAAGACUUACUACAGCGAUCUACCCAUAUUGCCACCAAGACUUUCCAGGCUCUUCGCAUAUUUGUGAACAAUGAGCUCAAUGAACUCUACACGGGACUGAAGACAGCUCAGAAGUUUCUGAGACCUGGUGGUCGUCUUGUUGCCCUCUCCUUCCAUUCACUAGAGGAUCGCAUCGUCAAAAGAUUUUUGCUUGGAAUAAGCA